AAAGUACCUGGACUUCUAUGCCCAUGCUUCUAGCAGCCAGCCUCCUAAAAUACCUCUAGUUGAAGCCAAAGUUAGAAUCCUUCUAUGAAACUACAGGAUUAAAAUGGGAUGGUUACAUGACCCAGGCUUGACCAAUCAGAUCAUCCAAACCCUUUGCCACAGUGAUUGGUCCAGGGAUACAUGCAUGAGCCAGCUCAGGUGGCAUUGUAUUAUGCACCAAGAGUGAACCAGAUAGAGGAAGUUGCUCCUUAAGCUUGCAGGUCUGAAAGAACAGGGAAUUAUCUCUCUUCAAAGGCCUAAACCACACUCAUCUUGUGGAUGACACUGGAGCUGUGACAGUCUGUUCUGUCCAGGCUGGGUGUCUUUUAUUUUUACUGGAAAUAAGAUUAUCACAGAAUUGCUGGCUCUUGAUACUCUUUCCCAUCAACUCCCCCAAUGGAAAUGCUUUCAACCAGUGCAGAAGUAAAAAAUUACCCAAAGGCUGUAUGAUGCAAACUCUUUCUUUGGCUUUAUCUUACUGAUAAGAAUAAAAAUAACACCUCACGUAUGUAU
rnacentral:antisense_RNA from 1 species